UUGCAAUGGAAAUACUAAUGUCAGUAUUACAAACUGUCAUACCAUUCCUGGUGGAAAUGCCUGGAUUUCACAAGGCCAGUACGUGAUGGUAGUAGGUGAAAUGCAAGAGGAAUUAGACGGCACAAAUGCCAUCCGUGCAAUCAAGAUGGCUGACCUAUCUUCCAAUAGUGUACACGCAGCCACUUGGAAGAGUGAAGUUGCUGAAAUCAAGGCCUUAAUGCGUGAAAAUGCAAGCUUGUGCUCCUGAUGGCUUCCUGAAUAUAGAAAGCUACUGAGAGCUAGAUACUGAAAUUAUUAUUAUUUUUUUUAUUUCUUCUUUUUUUAAUGUUUGUUUUAGGGCUACAUUGUUCUUGUUACAUUUUCUUACUCUCUGGUAAAUGCAUAAUACACUGAACUGUAAAAUGUAAACUUUCAGAUUUUUUACAAAUAAAAAUAAUUUGAAUGA